rnacentral:rRNA from 1 species
GACGAAGGGGGCUAGCGUUGUUCGGAAUUACUGGGCGUAAAGCGAGUGUAGGCGGUUGCCCAAGUCAGGUGUGAAAGCCUUGAGCUCAACUCAAGAAAUGCACUUGGUACUGGGUGGCUAGAGGACCGGAGAGGAUAGUGGAAUUCCCAGUGUAGUGGUGAAAUACGUAGAGAUUGGGAAGAACACCAGUGGCGAAGGCGGCUCACUGGACCGGCAUUGACGCUGAGGUGCGAAAGCGUGGGGAGCAAACAGG